ACAGAUGGCUGAUGAAAGACUAAGAGAAGUAAUAAAAGCCAAAAAGCAAGGCAGAGCAACUAAAGGAACAGUGAAGGGACUUGUCCAAGGUUACCAGAAGCAAGAGUAUGUGAUGCACUGUGUGGUCUAUGAGCAGAAUCUAUUGAAUGGAGGCUCAAGCUGA
rnacentral:lncRNA from 1 species